GACGAACCGUGCAAACGUUAUUCGGAAUCACUGGGCUUAAAGGGCGCGUAGGCGGGCUGUCAAGUCAGAGGUGAAAUCCCACAGCUUAACUGUGGAAGUGCCCCUGAUACUGACGGCCUCGAGGGAGGUAGGGGCGUGUGGAACUUCCGGUGGAGCGGUGAAAUGCGUAGAUAUCGGAAGGAACGCCGGUGGCGAAAGCGACACGCUGGCCCUCUUCUGACGCUGAGGCGCGAAAGCCAGGGGAGCAAACGGG
rnacentral:rRNA from 1 species